UGUCAUAGGAAAUAAAGGCAGAGACUCAAUAAAGUCCUAGGCUCUUAAAACAUUUUCUUUUCUUCCCUCAGAGCAGCAAAAUUGAGGGGAGGAGUGUGGCUACAGUGAAUGGGUGUCACUGAGAGUCAUGAAUAGGGAGCACUUUGGUUGGAGAUUCAGAGCUCUGGAGUGUGACUGCGGAGGGAAGCAUGCAUGAAGAUCACUUUGGCUUUUGAAAUGUUAAGUUCCACCCAGUUGUAAGUAGGAGAGACAGUGCUAACCCUGUCACUUUCAUGCUUUCUCUCCAAACUGGAAUGCUACUGUUGGGUUUCAGGAAAAUAAGGAAGGUUUUGGGUGUGUGUCUACCCAAGCAAGGAGGAUUUCAGAGUUGCAGCCAACCUCACUCUGGAAUUAAUCAUCGAAGUUGAUCUCAAUAACAAGCCAUAAGUAUGGCUACAGUGACUUAAGGACUAUUUUAUUAGGCAUAGUCUAUCUUGCAGGGGUCUCUUAUGGGGGGGUCUCAUAGGAAUUCAUGAUACAAAGAAAAAUAAAACCAAGUAAAGCUGAAGUAAGUAGUCAGACAGUCAACUGCACAUGCAAACAAGUAACACAAUGUAAGUUAGCUGAGGCUGUCACCUCAACACAAGCCUAGAGGCACUUUUAACCACUGAGCCAUCUCUCCAGCCCAAGAGGCACUUUUGAAGAGAGAAUAUCAAUAGAGAAACUGUCUCCUUCAAAUUGACCCGUGACUGUGUAUAUGAGGCAAUUUCUUAUUUGAUAACCUGUAUGGGAACUCACUGUGGGUGGUGCCAUUCCCUAGGCAGAAUGAUCUGGGCUAUAUAAUAAAGCUGAGCAAGCUAGGGGAAACAAGCUUUUUGGUCCUGGUGUUUAUAAGAGUAAUAGAAAAUCCACAAGUAGAACAGGUAGGGAGCAGGGGAAGGGAUGAAGCAUGUGUAGAACAUUCUGGUGAGACAGUUUGGGGAGGAGUGAUGACCUAGAUGAAAGUAUGACACUGAUGAAGUAAGGAUGGGAACCUGGGUGUGUAAGAUGCAGGUGUGAUAACCCUGUAGGAGUGAGAAGUGGGCUGGAGCAAAGAGAAACAGUAUAGCGGACAACUGGGAAGGAGGCAGGGUUUGCUUAGUGUGGGGAGUCAUAGGUGCUGAUGCCUCCAAAGUGUCCAAAGCUAAAAACUUACAGUGCAGAGUGGGAGGCACACAGAGCAUAGGAAGACACAGAGGGACUAGUCAGCCCACUUCACAGGGAGUAAAGGGUGGCCAGGGCUUGAGCUUCGAGGUGUUUUUCUUGGCUCAGGUGAUGCUGUAUGAAGACAGCUUGGGUAUGUGAUGAAAAAUGAGAAAGGAUUGGUACAGCAAUCACUCUAUGAGUGUUGACAUAGAAAGGUGAAGUUGAGAAAGAAGCCAUGGAACAGGCUGUCUUCUUGGGCUCACCUUAAAUCCCACAAGGAUUCUGGGAUACAAAGGAAAACAUGCUAUUGUUUUGGAAAAUAUGGAGAUAAAACAGAGAGACCAUCCAACUUAAUUCCUUUGAAAUGAACAUAAAUAAUUUCCAUUGCUGUUAUUCCAAAGGAAUGCCUUUUGACCUCCUGGUGGGCUCAAACAAUCUGUAGGAAGAAUCUUAACACGCUGAACCAAGUGUACACGUGUGCUAUUUAUCUCUAGGGAAAACUGGACCUUACCCCACAGACAUCAUGUAUCUUUAUCUAUAAAAUGGUUUUCUUUUGUUUCUCUUGUUUAGCUAGUCAUGUGAGAAAUUAACACUUGAUAUUUAUAAGCCAAGCUAUAAAAUUGCCAGAACUGACUAGAGACUAACUCAGUUUUCAUACUGAAAAAAUUGUUGGUAAUAUUCCCUCACCUUUCAGCGAGGAUAAUUGGUUAGCUAGAAAUGGCUUGACUUAGUGCAGAUUUUUAAUUGUUGUUAUCUUUACUUUUUAAUUAUAAAUUAAUUUUGGUUUAGCUUAUUCAUUUCCAUUUUUAUUUUCUUAUUCCUAGGCUUUCAGAAUGUAGCUGUGGAUAUUUGAUAUCAUCAUAUUUCUAGCCUGUAAUAUCCCUUAAGCUAUGAAUCCCAGUUUACCAGUAUUUGAAUACAAACCAUUCUUUACCAGUUGCUGAAAUGAGUGGCUAAUUAAUUUCUUUCCUUUAACUUUCAAAUUGCUUAAGCCUUGGAAUUAUUACCAAUUGAAUUUAUUUUCCAGGAAGAACUGGUCAAGAAGAGUCAGAUAGCUGGCUCAAUGGGUUAAAAGUUCUUCCCACACAAUCCUGAAGACUUGAGUUGAGUACACCGGAUCCACAAAAAUACAGUAGUCGUGUUUCACAACUGUAACCCCAAAACUUCUAUUGGGCAGUAGAAGGUAGGGACAGGAAAAUCACCCUGAUGCUCACACUCCAGCCAAGGGGUAGAAACAAGAUGGAUCUUGCCUCAACAGUGAAAAGGGAAGUUUACUGCUCACAAUGAAAGGGUCACCAUCCAUUGCACAGGGAAAGAGCCGGAAACAGAAGAUGCACACCUCAUUUUUGGGGAAGCCGAGGACUGAAGGCAUCUGCUGGGUUCACUUUUUAGAGUCUCAGAACCAUGGAAUGGUGCUGUCCUCAGGCUGGGUGGCUCUUCUUACCUCAGUGAAUCUAAUCUAGACAGUCCCUCACAGAAAUGCCUGGAGAUGUGUCUCCAUGGUGACCCUGAGUUCCAUCAAAAUGAAAAUCUGGAGGAAACAUCGAAGGAGCUGUGUCCCCAGUCCUGCAAUGACAGUUUAACCUCACUUUGUUAACUAGCUAUUUACGUGCUAUGAAGGGACCUAACUUUGUAGUCUCAUUUUUUCCCAUCUGUAAAGUACUUUGCAUUUCUAUGUUAUUUUGGGGAACUUAGUAAUAAGGUAAAAAUAAAUCAUAGAGCAUUUGACUCUAUAACAGGUCAGGCAUUAUUGUUUGUAUUCUGAGAGGGUGUCUCAUGUGGUCCAGGUUGGCCUCCAAUGACUGGUCCUUCUAUUGCAAUUCCUGAAUGGAGGGGUAACAGAUGUUUACCACUAUGUCCUUGCUUGGGUCCCAUAUUGUUGAAAGAGCUUUGCAAGCUUAUCAACAUGGGGAUGAAACUGUUAAUAUCAGCCAGUGCUUAUGCCAUGCAGGUUAAAACAAUAAACGACUUAAAAGCCUACUUGACCAGUGACAAUAGAAUAAUUUUAGAGAGACUAAAGGGUCAGAACUUGCCAUAGAGGGAAGCAAAGGAGGCUGAAGAAGGAAUAUAAUAUACAAAAACACUGAAAAAUCGCCUCUAAUUGCAUAUGAUAAGAACAACUUCAGAGAACUCCUUUGUGGGACUGGAUGUAUUGUGGCCAAAAAUGAAACUGCACAGAGAAUAUUUUUAAGUGGAAUAAUAGUCCAUUUAUUAACUCUAUAAUCCAUGGCUAGGGAUAAAUGAAUCUGUUACCCUGUUUCCCCCUCUCUGAUUCUGCAGUUUUUCCUUAGCUUACCUACCGUUUACAUUUUUGCUUUGAGACAGUGCUUAUGAAAUUACCCAGGGAUAUGUACUCUUGGUUAGCUUGAACAUGGAGUUCUACUGCCUCUGCCUCCUGAGUAUCCCUGAUUAUCAUCGGCCACCCUAGCCUCAGUAUGUCUCUCUCUGUUACUGUAUCCUAAUCAGAUACUGACUCAAAUAGUUAUUUUCUAUUUAAUGGAAAUGUACUUUCUAUUCAAUCAAGAAGACAAUUACUAUUUAUUUUAAAACCCUGUUUAUUCAUCUAUUUGUGUGUGUACCUGUGUGUGUGCUUGUGUGUGUAUGCAUGCGAACCUGUGUGUGUAUACAUUUGUGUAUAUAUGUGUUUCUGUACCUAUAUGUGUGUGUGUGUGUGUAUGCAUGGGUGCACAGAUGUUAUGACAUUCUUGUGUCACAUGUAGAGGGCAGAGGACCCCACAUAGUGGAGUCUGUCUUCACUGAGUCCCAGGUUUCAAACUCAGGCUCUUAGGAUGAAAGCAAGCAACCAUCUUGCCGACCCAAAGUAGAUGAUUUUUGACAGAUGUAACCAUUAUCUGACAGCUAGUAGUUUACGUUAUUAAAAACUACCUGAG
rnacentral:lncRNA from 1 species